AGUGAACGCUGGCGGUAGGCCUAACACAUGCAAGUCGAACGGCAGCACAGUAAGAGCUUGCUCUUACGGGUGGCGAGUGGCGGACGGGUGAGGAAUACAUCGGAAUCUACUUUUUCGUGGGGGAUAACGGAGGGAAACUUACGCUAAUACCGCAUACGACCUACGGGUGAAAGCAGGAGAUCUUCGGACCUUGCGCGAUUGAAUGAGCCGAUGUCGGAUUAGCUAGUUGGCGGGGUAAAGGCCCACCAAGGCGACGAUCCGUAGCUGGUCUGAGAGGAUGAUCAGCCACACUGGAACUGAGACACGGUCCAGACUCCUACGGGAGGCAGCAGUGGGGAAUAUUGGACAAUGGGCGAAAGCCUGAUCCAGCCAUACCGCGUGGGUGAAGAAGGCCUUCGGGUUGUAAAGCCCUUUUGUUGGGAAAGAAAAGCAGCAGGUGAAUACCCCGCUGUUCUGACGGUACCCAAAGAAUAAGCACCGGCUAACUUCGUG
rnacentral:rRNA from 1 species